CAUGUUCCUGUAUGAUCACCAAAGUUAAGCAAUGUUGAGGCUGGUCUGUACCUUGAUGGGAGACCACUUGGGAAUAUCAGGUGCUGUAA